rnacentral:rRNA from 1 species
GACGGGGGGGGCAAGUGUUCUUCGGAAUUACUGGGCGUAAAGAGCUCGUAGGCGGUUUGUCGCGUCGUCUGUGAAAACCAGCAGCUCAACUGUUGGCUUGCAGGCGAUACGGGCAGACUUGAGUAUUUCAGGGGAGACUGGAAUUCCUGGUGUAGCGGUGAAAUGCGCAGAUAUCAGGAGGAACACCGGUGGCGAAGGCGGGUCUCUGGAAAAUAACUGACGCUGAGGAGCGAAAGCGUGGGUAGCGAACAGG